CUCAAUGAAAUAUUUAAUAGCCGCAAAUAUUUUUGUGCUAAGGUAGCAUAAUCAUUUGCCUUUUAAUUAAAGGCUAGAACGAAAGAUUUAACAUUUACAUUUCUAUUUUAAAUUCAUUUAUUUAAUCUCUCUUAAAUAUAAAAAGAUAUUUAUGAUACAAAAAGACGAUAAGACCCUAUUGAACUUAACUUUAGUUAAACUGGGGAAGUUAAUCAAAUAUAAUUUUAAUUUCAUUAAUCUUUAAAAAAUCUAAUUUAAUUAAAUUUUCAAUCAAGUUACCAUAGGGAUAACAGCGUAAUAAUUUUCAUAAGAUCUUAUUUAAAAAAUAAUUUGCGACCUCGAUGUUGAAUUAAUAACCUUUUAAAUGCAAAAAUUUAAAAAGGAAGUCUGUUCGACUU
rnacentral:rRNA from 1 species